GCUCCAGUGGCCUAGUGGUUAGUGUCCGCCUCGGAUGCGGCAGGUCGUGGGUUCAAUUCCCUGUUGAGUCA